AUGUGGACAGCUCUUGUGGUCAUUGGGAUUUUCUCCUUGUCCUUAUCGGAAAGUCAUGCGGCAUCCAAUGAUCCACGCAACUUCGUCCCUAACAAAAUGUGGAAUGGGUUAGUCAAGAGGAAUGCAUCUGUGGAAACAGUUGAUAAUAAAACGUCGGAGUAAUAAAACUUCUGCCUAACCACGGCAGCAACUUCUCCUGUCACAUUGACCAAAGGGACUUCGGCAGCCCACCUCAACUCUACGGAAGUCACAACAGAGCACACAAGCAGGACAGACUUGAGUGAACCAGCAACUUUAGGAAGUGCAGCUGAUGGUGCGGCCUCGUGUACGACUGAGACCUCCAGUGCUCCCACGACUGAGGCCUCCAGUACGACUGCAGCCUCCAGUGCUCCCACGACUGCGGCCUCCAGUAUGACUGCAGCCUCCAGUGCUCCCACGACUGCGGCCUCCAUUAUGACUGCAGCCUCCAGUGCUCCCACGACUGCAGCCUCCAGCACUCCCGCGACACUCGUACCCAUCACGCCCAUAUCCACAUCCACUACCGCCACUGGGCAUCCAUCUCUCAGCACAGCCCUGGCACAAGUGCCAAAUAGCAGCACGGUGCCAAGAACAGCAACCCUGGCCACGUUGGCCACACAUGCUCAGACUGUGGCCACCACAGCAAACAUGGGCAGCCCCAUGAGCACUCGGCCAAGUCCUUCCAAGCACAUGCCCAGUGACAUCAUGGCAAGCCCUGCAGCCCCUACGCGUCCCCAGGCACAAGGUCCCAUUAGCCAGGUGUCAGUGGACCAGCCUGUGGUUAACACAACCCCAGAGCCCACCCCCAACCUCACAGUGGUGACCACCACCAAGGCACAAGCCAAGGAGCCAACUGCCAGCCCAGUGCCAGUGCCUCACACCAGCCGAACCCCUGAGGUGGAGGCCACGUCCCCCACGACACAGCCAAGCCCCACGCCAUACACCCAGAGAGCCGCUGGGCCAAGCACACCCCAGGCACCGGAGCAGGUAGCGACUGAAGCCACACCAGGUACUGAUUCCACUGGGCCAACACCCAGGAGCUCAGGGGGCCCUAAGAUGCUAGCCAUGGACUCCUGCCAGCCCAGCACCCAAGGCCAGUACCUGGUGGUCACCACUGCGCCCCUCACCCAGGCCGUGGUGGACAAAACUAUCCUCCUGGUGGUGCUGUUACUCGGGGUGACCCUUUUCAUUACAGUCUUGGUUCUGUUUGCCCUGCAGGCCUAUGAGAGCUACAAGAAGAAGGACUACACCCAGGUGGACUACUUAAUCAAUGAGAUGUAUGCGGACUCGGAAAUGUGAGGGGGCGGGGCCUGGCGGGAAGCUGGGCCCCUUCCUUGUCCUUUCGUUUUGCCUUUGAGACCAAACCAAGUACUUCCAAAUUCUUUUGGUGCAAUUUAGGAGAUAUGCCAGAUGCUUAAACACAUUUAAUUGCUGUCAGGUUAAUUCCAUGAUCACUAAAGAGUUGCUACUUUUUUCAAAA